CUCGUAGGCGGUUUGUCGCGUCUGCCGUGAAAGUCCGGGGCUCAACUCCGGAUCUGCGGUGGGUACGGGCAGACUAGAGUGAUGUAGGGGAGACUGGAACUCCUGGUGUAGCGGUGAAAUGCGCAGAUAUCAGGAGGAACACCGAUGGCGAAGGCAGGUCUCUGGGCAUUAACUGACGCUGAGGAGCGAAAGCAUGGGGAGCGAACA
rnacentral:rRNA from 1 species